rnacentral:lncRNA from 1 species
AUGUCCCCAAUGUCCCCAGUGCCGGACCCUGAGAGAAGGGCACGAGGAGGCUGUCUGCAAAAGCCCUCUUUAUUCGGAGUACAAAACGGGGGGCUGGCUGCAAGUCCCCUGGGACGGGAUGACACAGCUCUGUCCCCACAUGUCCCCCACCAGUGCCACCCCCAGGCUAGUGUCAUGUCCCUGGGAUGGGGCGCUGCUGACACCACGUCCAGGCAGUGCUCAGGGUUGGGUUGGGGACAGCAGCACCCAUCGAGGUGCCCAUCCCGUGAGGUCCUCCUGGUGCCACCUGGAGAUGUCCCCCUGCCACCCCGCCUCCUGCACCACUUGGGAGCACCCCAAGGACUUGGCUGCUGGCCUGGGGACAUCCACACCCCCAGGAGAGCCGGGGAUGACAGAGUGCCACCAGCACAGAGGGACAAACAGCCCGGGGUAUCCCAAAAGACACCGAGUAGCGGCCAGGUGACGACAGGGAGGGGUCAGUUCUUGAACAUGUCGCAGAGCAGCUUCUCCAUGGGGGUGUUGCCGAUGGUACGGCGGAAGAAGAGCAGCUCGACGCGCUCAGAGGAGAGGAAGCGCAGCGCCGGCAGGAGCAGCAGCAGCUUCCCAAACCUGGAGGAUGGAGCGGUGUCACAAACCCCGCUGUCGACGGCACCUCCGGGGCUGGGGCUGGCUGUACCUGACGGGCUGCCCGGGGUAGUGGGAGCGGUUGUGCUGGCCCAGCAUCACCUGCGACUGGUCCUGCAGGUUCUCCACCUGCUCAGGGUCCUUCAGGCCGCGGGUCUCUGCCAGGACAGCGGGUGUUGGGGUGACACGGGGACAGGCAGCGGAGGACCUGGGUGCGCGCUCUCACCUGGCUUGAAGAGCACCACAGCCUUCAUGCAGGCAAAUUCGGUGGGAUCGACCGCUAGUGCUUUGAAGCGCCCCAGGGUCUCCUGCAGCGCCCGCACGUCCACAGCAGCUGGCAGCAGCUUGCCGGGGGACGGCUCAGGGACGGCCAGCAGCGGGCAGCUCUCCAGGGGCAUGGACCACUGGAUGGCACAGAGCAGGAACAGCUCGCUCCACGCCUCCUCCAGCAGGAUCACCUGGGGGCAGCCAUAA